rnacentral:rRNA from 1 species
GUGGCGACCGGCGCACGGGUGCGUAACGCGUAUGCAAUCUACCUUGUACAGAGAGAUAGCCCAGAGAAAUUUGGAUUAAUACCUCAUAGCAUCAUUGAAUGGCAUCAUUUAGUGAUUAAAGUUUCGGCGGUACAAGAUGAGCAUGCGUCCUAUUAGUUAGAUGGUGAGGUAACGGCUCACCAUGACUACGAUAGGUAGGGGUUCUGAGAGGAUGAUCCCCCACACUGGUACUGAGACACGGACCAGACUCC